UAUUGGUUUCGGACCAAGAGACCGGCGCACGGGUGCGUAACGCGUAUGCAAUCUACCUUUGCAGAGGAUAGCCCAGAGAAAUUUGGAUUAAUACCUCAUAGUAUAGUACUUUGCAUCAAGGAACUAUUAAAGUCACAACGGCAAAAGAUGAGCAUGCGUCCCAUUAGCUAGUUGGUAAGGUAACGGCUUACCAAGGCUACGAUGGGUAGGGGUCCUGAGAGGGAGAUCCCCCACACUGGUACUGAGACACGGACCAGACUCCUACGGGAGGCAGCAGUGAGGAAUAUUGGACAAUGGGCGCAAGCCUGAUCCAGCCAUGCCGCGUGCAGGAUGACGGUCCUAUGGAUUGUAAACUGCUUUUUAUACAGGAAGAAACACUCCGACGUGUCGGAGCUUGACGGUACUGUAAGAAUAAGGAUCGGCUAACUCCGUG
rnacentral:rRNA from 1 species